UACGGAGGGUGCGAGCGUUGUCCGGAAUCACUGGGCGUAAAGGGCGCGUAGGCGGCCUGAUAAGUAGGGGUGAAAUCCUGCGGCUUAACCGCAGGGCUGCCUUCUAAACUGUCAGGCUGGAGCACAGUAGAGGCAGGUGGAAUUCCCGGUGUAGGCGGAUGGAAUGCGUAGAGAUCGGGAAGAACAUCAGUGGCGAAGGCGGCCUGCGUGGGCUGUUGCG
rnacentral:rRNA from 1 species